rnacentral:misc_RNA from 1 species
CGCGUGCCCCUCUCUCCGUCCCUUUCUCACUCACGCAUGCUGUUCUGCACCGCGCGGGCACAUUGCACACUCACUGGCUGUUUUUUGUCGCUGUUCUCCUUUUCUGGGAGCGCUCAGCGUAAUGAUGCUCCCUUUUUCUCCGUGCCGUCAUCUCGAUCGUGGCGCAGCGGGGACACUUUUCUUUUCUUUGGAAAACGGAACUUCUCCGCCAUCCUGUUGGUUUGUUGGUGAUUCAUCGAAACAUGACACGGUGGACAGAAGACGCCGCAGUGCGUCGUAUGCUGAAGGCCUAGUGCACCCCCAAUCUAUGUGUGGGGGCGCUAGACAAGCCCCUCGAUCCCGGCCAAUGCCGAACCACUUGUGGUGGUGCCAGGGUCAAGCAUCAGUGUCGUGGGGCAGUCAGGGCGAUGUAUCGCUAGGGAUGCCGGCGUCCAGGUCCUGGGUUGGCGGUGCGUCAGGGCGACAGGCGACAGUGCACACGUCUGAGCCAUCCACAUGAUAGGCGAGGCGUUACGGAGACUGGAACGUAUCCCACCCACCCCUCUCACUGCCUGCUAAUGAGGGGGGGGGGCUGAGUGUCACCGCGAGGGGAAUGCAACAGGUGGCGGCCGGCAUGAUGGGAGGAGCGGCUGUGGGCCGACCUGCGAGGCGGGCAUGUGUUUAGGGCUUGAGGCAGGGCCUGUUGUCGGAUUAGUGAGUCGUCUCAUUGCUGCGCCGAGUGUCUAGCGCUGUUUUGCACCACGCGGAUGGGGCUGGUGACGGGGCCGGGCUUAGAGUGGCGCUUGACUCAUGUUGUGUGGCAUAACGGGCUCGGUGAAGCGGAAAAAGGACGCCAACACUACGGCCACAUGUGUGGGUGUGCGUCUCUUUUAUUUGCAUGCACUGGUGUGAUUCGCGGGUGGGUAUGGUUGUGUGGCACACUUUUUCCCUUCUUUUGAUUUCGUCGGCCCUUUUUUUCUUUCCGCGGUGGAUGGUGGACAUCGCCGAGGUUCAACCUCCCCCACACCCCCACCGCACACACAAAAAUGAGGUGGAAACACGACACACCGACAAAAAAGAGAGAAGAGCCCCCGCUCCUCGGACAAUUCGUUGCACUUGCUCUCAUUCAGCGAGUGAGACGGAUACCGAGCCUUCUACCGAGGUCAUCCUUCGCACAAACCACGCCUUUCAACCACCCUUCUCUGAGGGUAAGGAGCGACAUACAACAGUGCACCUGGCCACCACUGCAUCUACAAACGGGACUCACGCGGUACCGGGCGUUGUCGGUUUCCUAUCCGCCAAGCGCACUUGCUAACUGUCACAUCGAGACGUAUCUACCGUUUCCCCCUGCCAUCUAAAUUAUCUGCUCUGCUUGGCGCUCUUCAAACUAUUUUUUUUUGUUGUUGGAUACUCCCCCUUGCCUCACUUUCCCCUCUGCUCCCGGUCGGACACACACGCACAUGCCAUCGACCCAG